UUUUCUCCCCCUGGGAACUAGCAUAUCCAAUAAGCGGAGGAAAAAGAAACUAAAACAGGAUUCCCUUAGUAACUGCGAGUGAAGCGGGAAAAGCUCAAAUUUAAAAUCUGGUGGUCUUUGGCCAUCCGAGUUGUAAUCUAGAGAAGUGUUACCCGCGUCGGACCGUGUACAAGUCUCCUGGAAUGGAGCGUCAUAGAGGGUGAGAAUCCCGUCUUUGACACGGACUACCGAGGCUUUGUGGUGCGCUCUCAAAGAGUCGAGUUGUUUGGGAAUGCAGCUCAAAAUGGGUGGUAAAUUCCAUCUAAAGCUAAAUAUUGGCGAGAGACCGAUAGCGAACAAGUACCGUGAGGGAAAGAUGAAAAGAACUUUGGAAAGAGAGUUAAACAGUACGUGAAAUUGCUGAAAGGGAAACGCUUGAAGUCAGUCGCGUUGGCCGGAAAUCAGCCUUCCUUUUGGUUGGUGUAUUUUCUGGUUGACGGGCCAGCAUCAGUUUUGACCGGUGGAUAAAGUUGUAGGGAAUGUGGCAUCUUCGGGUGUGUUAUAGCCCUGCUUCGUAUACAUCGGUUGGGACUGAGGAACUCAGCACGCCGUAAGGCCAGGUUUCGACCAUGUUCGUGCUUAGGAUGCUGGCAUAAUGGCUUUAAUCGACCCGUCUUGAAACACGGACCAAGGAGUCUAACAUGCCUGCGAGUGUUUGGGUGGAAAACCCGAGCGCGUAAUGAAAGUGAAAGUCGAGAUCCUUGUCAUGGGGAGCAUCGACGCCCGGACCAGAAGUUUUCUGACGGCCCUGCGGUAGAGCAUGUAUGUUGGGACCCGAAAGAUGGUGAACUAUGCCUGAAUAGGGUGAAGCCAGAGGAAACUCUGGUGGAGGCUCGUAGCGAUUACUGACGUGCAAAUCGAUCGUCAAAUUUGGGUAUAGGGGCGAAAGACUAAUCGAACCAUCUAGUAGCUGGUUCUGCGA
rnacentral:rRNA from 1 species